rnacentral:rRNA from 1 species
AUGGCCGGCGCCCCGCGCAGGUCCGACGUCGACUUCGCCGACGUCUUCGGCGGCCCGCCCCGCCGCUCGUCGGGGAGCGACCGCGGGCGCCGCUCCUCGCUCGACUCGCCCUCCGGCUCCGCGUCCAGGGCGCGCAGCGGGGCCGAGGAGCGGCCCGUCUUCGGGGACCGCACCAGCUCCGGCUUCGCGUCCAGGGAGCGGCGGAGCGGCGGGGAGAGCGGGCCCGGGGAGAGGCCCGUCUUCGGGGACCGCACCAGCUCCGAGCGGAGGCAGCUCGGCCAGGAGUUCUACAAGGAUAUCUUCCCGGGGGGCGAGCCGACGUCGCCCAGGCGAGGCGGCGCCUCCGGCGAUCGCGACGUGUUCGGCGCGCCCACAUCGCCCGGCGGGUCCACCAGCCGCCUGCUGUCUCGGUCCAGCUUCUCCAUGAAGUUCACCAGAGGUGUGGACAGUUCAGUGCCUACUUCUCCAUCCCGGCAUAUAUCCAACAGAAAUGAUGAUGACACAUCUUAUGGUUACAGUGUUCCAGCUUCACCGAAUUCAUCUACAAACAGUUCUCUUGCCCAGGGGGUAUCCCAGCAAGAUUCAAAGAAGAAUCCCUUUUCGUGGCAUCGAUAUCCCUUCCUAUCCCGGUUCCGUUCAAGUGGAGAUAAGAAGGACACCUCUCAACAUGUUAACUCUAUGGACAGUGAAUGUGAAGGGACUCCUAUUAGCUCAGCAAGCUUCAUCAGCAGUGACAAGUUCCAUUUUUCAUUCUAUAAGUGGGCAGGGAAAGGAGCUUUGUUGAUGUUGCCAGCUAGUGUGCAAGAAAAAGAUGGAAAUAUUAUUGGGGUUAGAAGCUUCCCUCAAGUAAUUGUGCAAGGCAUCGACCUAAUUGAUGAGGAAGAAAGCAUGUCAACUGCCACGCCUGCAUCAAAAAGUCAGACUGACUAUGAAGAUUACAAAUCUGGGAAGGAUGGCUUGUUUGAAAGAAAACACAGCAUAAACUCAACAACCAAGGAGGAAUCUUCAGUGUUUGAUGAGUACCUGCAGGGUGAUAAAUCCAAAGAAGCAGGAACAAAGAAGAGUAUCAAUAAUGCAAAGAGCAAUGUAUCAGCAGGGAGCCCCAGAACUCAAAGUUCACGUCCACCUUCAGGAGAGAAAAGUCGUGGUAGCAGAGUGCUAAAAGAUUUCAUCAAAAUCUUCAGUCCUGAGGUUUCACCAAAGCGAAAAGCGGCAGUUGAGGCUCAAGAUCAGUCCAGUGGAAAAAAUGGAAGCAAAGGUGGAGUUGAAGAUAAAUUUAGCAUCUCGGAUUUGGAGACUGGUGAGGAUAUUAAGACGGAUAAAACAAACAGUCAGAAUGCAUUUUCCCCUGCAGCUGCUCAAAUGAGAGACGUACAAGGUAGGAUGGAGAAACCCGUCCUUACAGUCGAUGAUGAAAUGCUCACAAGAACAGGAAAACUCUCAGGAAAGGAAGAUGUUAAACCUCUAUCUUCUGAUAAGCCGUUCCAUGUUGAAACAGAGCAAAAGGUGCGUGACACAACAAGUCGUGAGGAAAGUCACAUGGAAAAUCUUGAAGAAUGUGUGGUUGAGCAUUUGGAUGAAGAUCAGAUUCUUCAGGAUGACAAUGAAAAGGAACAAAUAAAGAUAUCUCAAUCCAAAAUCCGGGAGUGGUCAAAGGGAAAAGAAGGAAAUAUUCGGUCAUUGCUUUCUACACUGCAAUAUGUUCUCUGGCCUGAGAGUGGAUGGAAACCAGUUCCAUUGGUUAACAUAAUUGAAGGAGCAGCGGUUAAGAAAGCUUAUCAGAAGGCAUUGUUAUGUCUUCAUCCAGAUAAGUUGCAACAGCGAGGAGCUGCCAUGCAUCAAAAGUAUAUAGCAGAAAAGGUUUUUGAGAUUCUACAGGAGGCAUGGAAGGAAUUCAAUUCAGUCACUUUUGGAUAG